CAGCAGCCGCGGGAACACAGAGGGUGCGAGCGUUAAUCGGAUUUACUGGGCGUAAAGCGUGCGUAGGCGGCUUUUUAAGUCGGAUGUGAAAUCCCUGAGCUUAACUUAGGAAUUGCAUUCGAUACUGGGAAGCUAGAGUAUGGGAGAGGAUGGUAGAAUUCCAGGUGUAGCGGUGAAAUGCGUAGAGAUCUGGAGGAAUACCGAUGGCGAAGGCAGCCAUCUGGCCUAAUACUGACUCUGAGGUACGAAAGCAUGGGGAGCAAACAGGAUUAGAUACCCCAGUAGUCCCUGUCUCUUAAAA
rnacentral:rRNA from 1 species